rnacentral:lncRNA from 1 species
UUGAUUGUGACCCCACCCACUUAUUUAUUUUAAUAUUUUUUUUUAGAAAAAACUUUAAAUAUCUUUCUCGUAGUUUCGCACUUUGUCACUUUACUAUCAUGUGAUUUCAAGUGUAUCAAGUUAAUACUCUGUAGUUUCGCACUUUUUCACUUUAGUACCCUGUGAUUUCAAGUGUAUCAAGUUAGUAUCCUGUGGUUUCGUAACUUUCUCACUUUAGUACCAUGUGAUUUAAUAUUUUGUUAAAUUAUAUAUCCCGAAAUGAAUAAUAAAAAAAAAAAAUUAAAACCACAGAAUACUAGCUUGAUAUAAAAAUAAAAUUACAGGGUACUAACUUGAUACACUUGAAACCGCAGGAUACUAAAGUGAGAAAGUAUGAAACCACAUGAUACUAACUUGAUAUACUUAAAAUCACAUGAUACUAAAGUGAAAAAGUGCGAAACCAUAGGGUAUUAAGAAUUUUCCCUUUUUUUAUUUUGAAAAAAUACAUAUAGAUCCUUUUGGCUACAAUAUCCAAACUUUAAUAAAUUAAAUAAUUUUUUAUACAUUUUAGAUAUAUUUUAAUUUUGAGAUAAUAUGUACAAUACCAAAAUCUUUAGCAUUUUGGCGAAUAGGUAUGUGAAGUUUUUAUUUUUAUAAUAAAUUUUUAUUGGGGAAAACUUCAAAAACCCCCCCUGUGGUUUCGUGCAUUCUCACUUUGCUACCUUGUGGUUUAAAACGUAUCAAUUUAUCCCCCUGUGGUUUCAUUUUUAUCUUUUCGGAAGCUUUUUCGUUAAUAUUUCGUUAAAUUAUAUACAAAAAACUUCAGAUAACCAUCUAUAUUUAUCGAAUAGUCACUUUAGUAUCCUUUAAUUUUAACUUUGUCACUGAUUUUAAAAAAAAAUAAUAAUACAAUUGAUAACAAAAAGAUAAAAACGAAACCAUAGGGGGGCAAAUUGAUAAGAUAAAAACGAAACCAUAGGGGGGCAAAUUGAUACGUUUUAAACCACAGGGUAGCAAAGUGAGAAUGUACGAAACCACAAGGGGGGUUUUUGAAGUU